GAUAGAUUCUUGCUGCACCUUCAUUUCCCCUUUCCAAGAAAAGCAUGCCUCAGCCACCGGAGUUUCAGAUGUUUCAUCUGAGGACAUCUGAGAGAGCCAAGCAGCAUGCAUAUAAUACGGCAAUGAAAGUAGCUAUGUAUGUGUCAACUUCAAGAAAUGAAACACCAGAAGCUUCAAGUCUAUCAAUUCAUUGAAGGAGGAGAAACAUGAAGCUGUUAACAAAUCUAAAGCUUGUUCUCCUAAUAAGAAGGUAACUUCUAGUAAAGGUGUCCUCCAGAAUAUGAACAAAACAUCAGCCACAACGAGGCUUCCAGAUGAACCAGCAAAGGAACUAUUAAAUAAAGGAUCGAAAGAGAAUGAGCCAGGUAAUCUGCUUCUGCAGCAUCAGAUCAUGGAAGUGGUCAAAGCACAUUUGCAAAAGAAUGGAAAAGUGCAGUACCAGUGUAGAAGAGAAAAGAAUAUUGGAAAUGGGCGACAAGAUAACAUUAGUAGGAGAUUGAGAUUGGAUGUAGUCUGAAAUCCCUCUGUAGUUUUGGUGGUCACCUUCAUCUGGCGCUUCAAGCGGGCAAAGCAAGCAAGCAAGCUUUUGUUGGAAGCAGUGUAUACUUAUAUAAAUAAUUGAAUUGUAUUUAUUCCUUGAAAAGAAAGAAAAGAAAAGAAAGCAUUUGAAAGAAAUAGCAAUGUACAGCAGACGUGAGAUUUUGUUAGCCUUAGUCAUGAUUUCCAUUAAAGGAG